rnacentral:tRNA from 1 species
GGAACGAUGGUGUAAUGGAAGCACAGCCCCACUCCAUGGGUCCGGCGUUGGUUCGACCCCAACUCGUUUCC